rnacentral:rRNA from 1 species
CAGUCGCCGCGGGAAUACGAAGGGGGCUAGCGUUGUUCGGAAUUACUGGGCGUAAAGGGCGCGUAGGCGGCCAUUCAAGUUAGAUGUGAAAGCCCUGGGCUCAACCUAGGAAUUGCAUUUGAUACUGUUUGGCUUGAGUUCGGGAGAGGUGAGUGGAAUUCCCAGUGUAGAGGUGAAAUUCGUAGAUAUUGGGAAGAACACCAGUGGCGAAGGCGGCUCACUGGACAAUUACUGACGCUGAUGCACGAAAGCUAGGGGAGCAAACAGGAUUAGAUACCCGUGUAGUCCCUGUCUCUUAUAC